AAGAUAUUAAGUUAGAUUAAAUUUUUGAUACCACAAAUCAAAGUUUACACUAUUAUAUUUAA
rnacentral:tRNA from 1 species